rnacentral:rRNA from 1 species
CCAAGGAGUCUAACAUGUGCGCGAGUCACUCGGUCUUGAAUAGGCCAGAGAGGCGCAAUGAAAGUAAAGUUGAUUGAGUUACGAUCCUCAUGCAGUCACUCGUAUGGGUGACGGUGGGGCGCAGUAACAGCCCGCCAAUUUCGCUUAUUGACGAUAUGGCGGAGUUGUAGCGUACACGUUGGUACCCGAAAGAUGGUGAACUAUGCCUGGGCAAGACGAAGCCAGAGGAAACUCUGGUGGAGGUCUGUAGCGAUUCUGACGUGCAAAUCGAUCGUCAGACCUGGGUAUAGGGGCGAAUGACUAAUCGAACCAUC